GUGACUAUAGAACGGUGUGGUCACGUGUAUGGAAGAAAUGGCGCGUUCGCAUUGCUGGACAUUAUGGGGAAAACAUUUUGGCGACGUUGGAAUGUGCGCGUGAACGACACCUCAUGACGCUGUUAUGAUUCUGCUUCCGUUCAGCAACUCGGGCCAAAUUUUGAGGUGCGUUCACUCUCCUGGUGAUAACGAGACGGCUCGCCAGUGAUGACGCUCACGCUUAAAAGGCCUGAAGGCCUAAAUACACCGGCGCCGCAGCGCAGCGGUGCGCAUUUUACGCGCGUCAAAAGCCGCCCCUAGCACCAACAGGAGGAGGCGCGACGGCCGCGCUGCAGUAUAAAAGCAGGAAGUCACCUGUCAAUCAACCGCAACAAAGAGACGAAACGCAAUGAGGCAGGGAUGGGCAACUUUCAUGAUAAAGAGGGCCACAUUUUUUAUCAUAACCAUCGGAGGGCCACAUGACUGCACACUUCAACUAAACAACAAUUGUUGCGGGUGGUUUCCCUUCUUCUGCUGCGCCGUAAGCGGGCAAGGAGAAGACGAAGGGUUUGGGUGCACCCCAUCAAUGAACGGAGACAAGAACAGGGGGUAUACCACAAUCUGGUCCAGGAGCUCCGUGCAGAGGCACCGCCAAUAUUUCAAUUCGCCACUAGGAAGUGUGCAAUGGCAGAACCGUAUGGUGUAACCUAUAGCCAUGAUGACCUAUAAUUUAGUUAUAUCACUCUCUGGUAUACUCUUUUGCAUAUAUAUAUAUAUAUAUAUAUAUAUAUAUAUAUAUAUAUAUAUAUACGCAUAUAUUUUAUCCCUCUGGAUAAAUACAGUGAUGUUAUUGCUGUGCUGGACUCAGUAGCCAGUCUAUUUUAUUUGAGUGCUCGAGACACUUAAUGUUAUUUUUCCUUAAACCCAGAGAGACAGUUAAUACAUGACAAGGCAUUAACUUUGCCUGUGUUUCCUUUUACUUAGCCUAUCUAUUUUAUUGUAUUGUAUAUUUAUUGUAUUUCUAUGUGAAGCACUUUGAGUCUGCUUCAUGUAUUAAAAGUGCUAUAUAAAUGAA